rnacentral:rRNA from 1 species
AUUGAACGCUGGCGGCAGGCCUAACACAUGCAAGUCGAACGAGUGGCGGACGGGUGAGUAAUGUCUGGGCAACUGCCCGUUCGAGGGGGCUAACUACUGGAAACGGUAGCUAAUACCGCAUACCAUCGGAUGUGCCCAGAUGGGAUUAGCUAGUUGGUGGGGUAACGGCUCACCUGGGCGACGCUCCCGAGCUGGUCUGAGAGGAUGACCAGCCACACGGGAACUGGGACACGGUCCAGACUCCUACGGGAGGCAGCAGUGGGGAAUAUUGCACAAUGGGCGCAAGCCUGAUGCAGCCAUGCCGCGUGUGUGAAGAGGGCCUUCGGGUUGUAAAGCACGUUCAGCGGGGAGGCGUUACCCGAAGAAGAAGCACCGGCUAACUCCGUGCCAGCAGCCGCGGUAAUAC